rnacentral:rRNA from 1 species
UACGGAGGGUGCAAGCGUUAUCCGGAUUUACUGGGUUUAAAGGGUGUGUAGGCGGGCUAUUAAGUCAGUGGUGAAAUCUCCGAGCUUAACUUGGAAACUGCCGUUGAUACUAUCUGUCUUGAAUAUUGUGGAGGUGAGCGGAAUAUGUCAUGUAGCGGUGAAAUGCUUAGAUAUGACAUAGAACACCAAUUGCGAAGGCAGCUCACUACACAAUCAUUGACUCUGAGGCACGAAAGCGUGGGGAUCAAACAGG